ACAUCGCUUGCAGAAGUCUCUCUUCUUCAGAAGAAGACUGACUGCGCCAGCCAAUCAAAGUCGUAUCCCCCUCUGACACAUAGAGGGGAGCCUCAUUCAAUGACUGUGGUAACUGAGGAACCCUGCAGAAAUAUGCAGGAGGAAUGGACGAUCUCACUGCACAACAUGAUUCAAAGAGACGUCACACCGAGCCAACUGCACUGCGGGGGGGAAUGAAGCAGAGCCCCAGGUGAACUGAUGCACUUCAGGUAGAAGACACAGGACAGAGCACAGG